rnacentral:rRNA from 1 species
GACGAACGCUGGCGGCGUGCUUAACACAUGCAAGUCGAGCGGUAAGGCCCUUUCGGGGGUACACGAGCGGCGAACGGGUGAGUAACACGUGGGUGACCUGCCCUCAGCUCUGGGAUAAGCCUGGGAAACCGGGUCUAAUACCGGAUAUGACUCCAUGACGCAUGUUGUGGGGUGGAAAGCCUUGUGCGGCUGAGGAUGGGCCCGCGGCCUAUCAGCUUGUUGGUGGGGUGAUGGCCUACCAAGGCGACGACGGGUAGCCGGCCUGAGAGGGCGACCGGCCACACUGGGACUGAGACACGGCCCAGACUCCUACGGGAGGCAGCAGUGGGGAAUCUUGCGCAAGUGGGCGAAAGCCUGACGCAGCGACGCCGCGUGAGGGAUGACGGCCU